AACGUAGGAGGCGAGCGUUAUCCGGAUUUACUGGGCGUAAAGCGCGUGCAGGCGGUUUUCUAAGUCGGACGUGAAAGCUCCCGGCUCAACUGGGAGAGGUCGUUCGAAACUAGGAGGCUUGAGGGUGGUAGAGGAGAGUGGAAUUCCCGGUGUAGUGGUGAAAUGCGUAGAUAUCGGGAGGAACACCAGUGGCGAAGGCGGCUCUCUGGGCCAUUCCUGACGCUAAGACGCGAAAGCUAGGGGAGAGAACGGG
rnacentral:misc_RNA from 1 species